AAAUAGAACCUGAAACCGUGUGCCUACAACAAGUUCGAGCCCGUUAAUGGGUGAGAGCGUGCCUUUUGUAGAAUGAACCGGCGAGUUACGAUAUGAUGCGAGGUUAAGUUGAAGAGACGGAGCCGUAGGGAAACCGAGUCUUAAUAGGGCGUAUUAGUAUCAUGUCGUAGACCCGAAACCAUGUGACCUACCCAUGAGCAGGUUGAAGGUGAGGUAAAACUCACUGGAGGACCGAACCAGGGCACGUUGAAAAGUGCUUGGAUGACUUGUGGGUAGCGGAGAAAUUCCAAACGAACUUGGAGAUAGCUGGUUCUCUCCGAAAUAGCUUUAGGGCUAGCGUCGACAUUAAGAUUCUUGGAGGUAGAGCACUGUUUGGGUGAGGGGUCCAUCCCGGAUUACCAAUCUCAGAUAAACUCCGAAUGCCAAUGAAUUAUGGUCGGCAGUCAGACUGCGAGUGCUAAGAUCCGUAGUCGAAAGGGAAACAGCCCAGACCACCAGCUAAGGUCCCAAAAUAAUUGUUAAGUGGAAAAGGAUGUGGGGUUGCACAGACAACUAGGAUGUUAGCUUAGAAGCAGCUAUUCAUUCAAAGAGUGCGUAAUAGCUCACUAGUCGAGUGACCCUGCGCCGAAAAUGUACCGGGGCUAAAACAAUUUACCGAAGCUGUGGAUACCUUUAUAGGUAUGGUAGGAGAGCGUUCUAUGUGUGGAGAAGGUGUACCGUGAGGAGUGCUGGAGCGCAUAGAAGUGAGAAUGCCGGUAUGAGUAGCGAAAGACAGGUGAGAAUCCUGUCCACCGUAAGACUAAGGUUUCCAGGGGAAGGCUCGUCCGCCCUGGGUUAGUCGGGACCUAAGGAGAGACCGAAAGGUGUAUCCGAUGGACAACAGGUUGAUAUUCCUGUACUAGAGUAUAUAGUGAUGGAGGGACGCAGUAGGCUAACUAAACCAGACGAUUGGAAGUGUCUGGCCAAGCAGUGAGGUGUGAUAUGAGUCAAAUGCUUAUAUCUUUAACAUUGAGCUGUGAUGGGGAGCGAAGUUUAGUAGCGAAGUUAGUGAUGUCACACUGCCGAGAAAAGCUUCUAGCGUUAAUUAUACUCUACCCGUACCGCAAACCGACACAGGUAGUCGAGGCGAGUAGCCUCAGGUGAGCGAGAGAACUCUCGUUAAGGAACUCGGCAAAAUGGCCCCGUAACUUCGGGAGAAGGGGCGCUGACUUAUGGUCAGCCGCAGUGAAUAGGCCCAAGCAACUGUUUAUCAAAAACACAGCUCUCUGCUAAAUCGUAAGAUGAUGUAUAGGGGGUGACGCCUGCCCGGUGCUGGAAGGUUAAGAGGAGUGCUUAGCGUAAGCGAAGGCAUGAAUUGAAGCCCCAGUAAACGGCGGCCGUAACUAUAACGGUCCUAAGGUAGCGAAAUUCCUUGUCGGGUAAGUUCCGACCCGCACGAAAGGCGUAAUGAUUUGGGCACUGUCUCAACG
rnacentral:rRNA from 1 species